rnacentral:rRNA from 1 species
AGAGUUUGAUCAUGGCUCAGAAUGAACGCUGGCGGCAGGCCUAAAACAUGCAAGUCGAACGCCCUAGCAAUAGGGAGUGGCGCACGGGUGCGUAACAUGUGGGAAUAUGCCUUUUGGUACGGAACAACUUUUGGAAACGAAAGCUAAUGCCGUAUGGUCCCUUCGGGGUAAAGAUUUAUCGCCAAAAGAUUAGCCCGCACUGGAUUAGCUAGUUGGUGAGGUAAUGGCUCACCAAGGCGACGAUCCAUAGCUGGUCUGAGAGGACGAUCAGCCACACUGGGACUGAGACACGGCCCAGACUCCUACGGGAGGCAGCAGUUAGGAAUAUUGGACAAUGGGCGCAAGCCUGAUCCAGCCAUGCCGCGUGAGUGAUGAAGGCCUUCGGGUUGUAAAGCUCUUUAGCCGAUGAUUAUAAUGACUGUAGUCGGAAAAUAAGCCCCGGCUAACUUCGUGCCAGCAGCCGCGGUAAUACGAAGGGGGCGAGCGUUAUUCGGAAUCACUGGGCGUAAAGCGUGCGUAGGCUGUUUGGCAAGUUGGAAGUGAAAGCCCAGGGCUCAACCCUGGAAUUGCUUUCAAAACUGCCAGACUCGAAUCCGGGAGAGGAUAGCGGAAUUUCCAGUGUAGUAGUGAAAUACGUAGAUAUUGGAAGGAACACCAGUGGCGUAAGCGGCUAUCUGGACCGGCAUUGACGCUGAGGCACGAAAGCGUGGGGAUCAAACAGGAUUAGAUACCCUAGUAGUCC